rnacentral:rRNA from 1 species
CCUACGGGUGGCAGCAGUGAGGAAUAUUGGUCAAUGGACGAGAGUCUGAACCAGCCAAGUAGCGUGAGGGAAGACUGCCCUAUGGGUUGUAAACCUCUUUUAUGCGGGGAUAAAGGUGUCCACGUGUGGAUGUUUGCAGGUACCGCAUGAAUAAGGACCGGCUAAUUCCGUGCCAGCAGCCGCGGUAAUACGGAAGGUACGGGCGUUAUCCGGAUUUAUUGGGUUUAAAGGGAGCGUAGGCCGGUCUUUAAGCGUGCCGUGAAAUUUUGUGGCUCAACCAUGAGAGUGCGGCGCGAACUGGAGACAUUGAGAGGGCGGAAGGCAGGCGGAAUUCGUGGUGUAGCGGUGAAAUGCUUAGAUAUCACGAAGAACCCCGAUUGCGAAGGCAGCCUGCCGCAGCGUUACUGACGCUGAAGCUCGAAAGCGCGGGUAUCGAACAGGAUUAGAUACCCCAGUAGUC